rnacentral:rRNA from 1 species
UACGUAGGGUCCGAGCGUUUGUCCGGAAUUACUGGGCGUAAAGAGCUCGUAGGUGGUUUUGUCGCGUUGUUCGUGAAAAACUCACGAGCUUAACUGUGGGCGUGCGGGCGAUACGGGCAGACCUGAGUACUGCAGGGGAGACUGGAAUUCCUGGUGUAGCGGUGGAAUGCGCAGAUAUCAGGAGGAACACCGGUGGCGAAGGCGGGGUCUCUGGGCAGUAACUGACGCUGAGGAGGCGAAAGCGUGGGGAGCGAACAGG